rnacentral:rRNA from 2 species
UGGUGGGUAGUUUGACUGGGGCGGUCUCCUCCUAAAGAGUAACGGAGGAGCACGAAGGUCAGCUAAUCCUGGUCGGACAUCAGGAGGUUAGUGCAAUGGCAUAAGCUGGCUUGACUGCGAGCGUGACGGCGCGAGCAGGUGCGAAAGCAGGUCAUAGUGAUCCGGUGGUUCUGAAUGGAAGGGCCAUCGCUCAACGGAUAAAAGGUACUCCGGGGAUAACAGGCUGAUACCGCCCAAGAGUUCAUAUCGACGGCGGUGUUUGGCACCUCGAUGUCGGCUCAUCACAUCCUGGGGCUGAAGUAGGUCCCAAGGGUAUGGCUGUUCGCCAUUUAAAGUGGUACGCGAGCUGGGUUUAGAACGUCGUGAGACAGUUCGGUCCCUAUCUGCCGUGGGCGCUGGAGAAUUGAGGGGGGCUGCUCCUAGUACGAGAGGACCGGAGUGGACGCAUCACUGGUGUUCGGGUUGUCAUGCCAAUGGCAUUGCCCGGUAGCUAAAUGCGGAAGAGAUAAGUGCUGAAAGCAUCUAAGCACGAAACUUGCCCCGAGAUGAGUUCUCCCUGACUCCUUGAGAGUCCUGAAGGAACGUUGAAGACGACGACGUUGAUAGGCCGGGUGUGUAAGCGCAGCGAUGCGUUGAGCUAACCGGUACUAAUGAACCGUGAGGCUUAACCUU